CAGCAGCCACGGUAAUACGGAGGGUGCAAGCGUUAAUCGGAAUUACUGGGCGUAAAGCGCACGCAGGCGGUCUGACAAGUCAGAUGUGAAAUCCCCGGGCUUAACCUGGGAACUGCAUUUGAAACUGUCAGGCUGGAGUCUUGUAGAGGGGGGUGGAAUUCCAGGUGUAGCGGUGAAAUGCGUAGAGAUCUGGAGGAAUACCGGUGGCGAAGGCGGCCCCCUGGACAAAGACUGACGCUCAGGUGCGAAAGCGUGGGGAGCAAACAGGAUUAGAGACCCGAGUAGUCCCUGUCUCUUAUAC
rnacentral:rRNA from 1 species